GGGGAAGCCGGUGGAAAUCCGGCGCUGACCCGCAACCGUGAGCCGCCUCCGUGGUGGCAAGUCGGAAUGCCC
rnacentral:ncRNA from 2 species